rnacentral:rRNA from 1 species
UACAGAGGUCCCAAGCGUUGUUCGGAUUCACUGGGCGUAAAGAGCUCGUAGGUGGUUCGGUAAGUCGGAUGUGAAAUCUCCAGGCUCAACCUGGAGGGGUCAUUCGAUACUGCCGUGACUAGAGGUCGGUAGGGGAGUGUGGAAUUCCUGGUGGAGCGGUGAAAUGCGCAGAUAUCAGGAGGAACACCCGUAGCGAAGGCGGCACUCUGGGCCGAUACUGACGCUGAUGCGCGAAAGCCAGGGGAGCGAACGGG